CACUAACCAGCGUUUUACGGUUAUCCCCUUUCAAUCCUACAAUUCAACCUCCACCCUCACAUCUUCUCUUUCCUCUACUCUCUCUUACGAGUCUCUAGUCUCACUCCUCAAAUUUUCAUUAUUUGCUUCCAAGUUAUGGUUAAUGAAUUUUUCUACUUUGUAUGAUCACAAUAUCUGAAAUCUUCAAGGCAGUUAGGCAUUAUCGCAAAUUUGCAGAUCUCGCCUAAUAUAUCAUGGAUGAUGAAGAAAUGGAAAAAGCAAUGAAGGAUUGUGAUUGUUCGUGAACUUUUCACACACUAACCUGGAUGUCAUGAAGCUAAUUAUCACCAGUACAUAAGAGGUUGAUUUGCGUUUAAGAAGGGUUGUUUUGCAGGAAGCCAAAUCCGGCUCAGCAGAUUGGGACUAAAAACUUGAGUAAAUGUAUGGGUGAUUUAUCCUUUACCUCUUAGAUUGCUUGUUAGUGCGAAUGCAUAGACACAAGACUACAAGAGGCCACCCAACCUAGAUAAGCUUAAGAGCCGUAUUCAUGAAAUUGCAUAGGUUUCCACUCCUGAACAGGUAAGAAAACCCGUACAAUGUAUUCUUCCGAACCUUGCAGCCUUUGUAAUUUCACUAGUUGUUUUGAUGUAUAGUAAAACUUCUUGCAGCUAUGGAGCAGAGUUUUGCGUGUUGAUCCGAGUCCUGAAAGGAGGCUGCCUUAGUAUCUAGUCAAGUAGUAUCUACAGAAGCAUUGCGGUGUCAAGUUAUUCCACUAAGAAUGUCUUACCAAAUCAGCUACACACUUGCAUAAGAAAGAAGCUGUUAAAUAUAUAAAAUGAUACGGAGUAGUAGUCUUCUUUUUUUUUGUUUAAUCUAAACAUCUUAUAGUAGAUAAGCAUAUUGUAUGUAAUUUUUAUUUGUUUAUCAAUGUUUAUGUGGUUAAUAUAAGAAAGAAUUAUGAAUAAUUUAACUUUAGUGAUGUAAUUUUUGGUACUUAACUAUAUCUAAAUA